UGCAGUGGGAUCAGAACCCUAGAGUGGGCAUGAAGAGGAGAAAAAACAAAUUCUGAAAUCACCAUGGAAACACUACAGAGGAAAGGAGAGUAGAGGAGGAGGAGGAGAGAUAAAAUAUUUUAGAGAACAUUUAUAAACAUUCCUUGUAAAGUUGAUAAACAAUCUUUGAAAGACACAGAAUCCAAAAUACAUACGAAGAUUAUGUGGAUUACAAAAGAAAGCACUGCUCAACUUGACCCUAUCAGCUUUACCUGACUUCCUGGGAGGUACAGAACAAGGUACGUAUGGGGAUCCAGCAAUUCUGAAGACUACGCCAUGCCUCCAACAGAGGGCUUCUUGGGUUGAAAGUGUGUGGGUAACAUUUACCAUAACAAUAACUACCACAACUACAGCUAAUAAAUGCACUUAAGCAGA
rnacentral:lncRNA from 1 species